rnacentral:tRNA from 1 species
GGGCGAGUGGCGGAACUGGUAUACGCGAUAGACUUAAAAUCUGUUGCCUUAAUCGGCUUAUGGGUUCAAAUCCCAUCUCGCCCACCA